rnacentral:rRNA from 1 species
UGAUCUGCCUACCAUGGUGAUAACGGGUAACGGGGAAUCAGGGUUCGAUUCCGGAGAGGGAGCCUGAGAAACGGCUACCACAUCCAAGGAAGGCAGCAGGCGCGAAAAUUACCCACUCCCGGCACGGGGAGGUAGUGACGAAAAAUACGAAUACGGGACUCAAUCGAGGCUCCGUAAUUCGAAUGAGUGCAAUCUAAAUCCUUGAACGAGGACCAAUUGGAGGGCAAGUCUGGUGCCAGCAGCCGCGGUAACUCCAGCUCCAAAAGCGUAUAUUAAAGUUGCUGCAGUUAAAAAGCUCGUAGUUGGAUCUGGGUCGUGCGUUCACAUGUCGUUGUUUGGUUCUGGCUUCGGUCAGUUUCGAACGAUGAUGAGGUGGUCGCGCAGCCUUUCAGCCGUGUCUGCGUGAGCAGGUGUUGACUGGCCGGCGGGCUUGCUUGCUGGCCAGUUGGCAUGUUUCCUGAUGCCUUUAAACGGGUGUCGGGGGCGUACGGCACUUUUACUUUGAACAAAUUUGAGUGCUCAAAGCAGGCCCAUGUGCCUGAAAAGUCUUGCAUGGAAUAAUGGAAUAGGACUUCGGUUCUAUUUUGUUGGUUUCCGGAUCCGAAGUAAUGGUUAAGAGGAACAGACGGGGGCAUUUGUAUGGUGGCGUGAGAGGUGAAAUUCUAUGAUCGUCGCCAGACAAACUACAGCGAAAGCAUUUGCCAAGAAUGUUUUCAUUGAUCAGGAGCGAAAGUCAGAGUUUCGAAGACGAUCAGAUACCGUCCUAGUUCUGACCAUAAACGAUGCCAACUGACG